GAAAUGCGAUACGUAAUGUGAAUUGCAGACUUCAGUGAAUCAUCAAACCUUUGAACGCAUAUUGCGCUUACAGUAUUCCUGUAAGCAUGUCUGUUUGAGCGUCAUUUCGACCAUCGAGCCCCCCCGGGGGCUUGUGUUGGGGACCUGCGGCUGCCCGCAGGCCCGAAAACCAGUGGCGGGCUCGCUGUCACCCCGAGCGUAGUAGUUCUCGCCUCGCUCAGGGACGUGCUGCGGGUGUUCCGGCCGUUAAAGCCCCCCCAACGUACCCCCAAGGUUGACCUCGGAUCAGGUAGGAAUACCCGCUGAACUUAA
rnacentral:misc_RNA from 1 species